GAUGAACGCUGGCGGCGUGCCUAAUACAUGCAAGUCGAGCGAAUGGAUUAAGAGCUUGCUCUUAUGAAGUUAGCGGCGGACGGGUGAGUAACACGUGGAUAACCUGCCCAUAAGACUGGGAUAACUCCGGGAAACCGGGGCUAAUACCGGAUAACAUUUUGAACUGCAUGGUUCGAAAUUGAGAGGCGGCUUCGGCUGUCACUUAUGGAUGGACCCGCGUCGCAUUGGCUAGUUGGUGAGGUAACGGCUCACCAAGGCAACGAUGCGUAGCCGACCUGACAGGGUGAUCGGCCAGACUGGGACUGAGACACGGCACAGGCUCCUACGGGAGGCAGCAGUAGGGAAUCUUCCGGAAUGGACGAAAGUCUGACGGAGCAACGCCGCGUGAGUGAUGAAGGCUUUCGGGUCGUAAAACUCUGUUGUUAGGGAAGAACAAGUGCUAGUUGAAUAAGCUGGCACCUUGACGGUACCUAACCAGAAAGCCACGGCUAACUACGUGCCAGCCGCCGCCGUAA
rnacentral:rRNA from 1 species